rnacentral:rRNA from 1 species
AGUGAACGCUGGCGGUAGGCCUAACACAUGCAAGUCGAACGGCAGCACAGUAAGAGCUUGCUCUUACGGGUGGCGAGUGGCGGACGGGUGAGGAAUACAUCGGAAUCUACUUUUUCGUGGGGGAUAACGUAGGGAAACUUACGCUAAUACCGCAUACGACCUACGGGUGAAAGCAGGGGAUCUUCGGACCUUGCGCGAUUGAAUGAGCCGAUGUCGGAUUAGCUAGUUGGCGGGGUAAAGGCCCACCAAGGCGACGAUCCGUAGCUGGUCUGAGAGGAUGAUCAGCCACACUGGAACUGAGACACGGUCCAGACUCCUACGGGAGGCAGCAGUGGGGAAUAUUGGACAAUGGGCGCAAGCCUGAUCCAGCCAUACCGCGUGGGUGAAGAAGGCCUUCGGGUGGUAAAGCCCUUUUGUUGGGAAAGAAAAGCAGCAGGUUAAUACCCCGCUGUUCUGACGGUACCCAAAGAAUAAGCACCGGCUACCUUCGU